GAUGAACGCUAGCGGCAGGCUUAACACAUGCAAGUCGAACGGUAACAUAGAAAGCUUGCUUUCUGAUGACGAGUGGCGGACGGGUGCGUAACACGUAUGCAACUUACCCUUCACUGGGGCAUAGCCCAGAGAAAUCUGGAUUAAUACCCCAUAACACAACGAUUUCGCAUGUUAUUGUUGUUAAAGUUUAGGCGGUGAAGGAUGGGCAUGCGUCCCAUUAGUUAGUUGGUGAGGUAACGGCUCACCAAGACCACGAUGGGUAGGGGGUCUGAGAGGAUGAUCCCCCACACUGGUACUGAGACACGGACCAGACUCCUACGGGAGGCAGCAGUGAGGAAUAUUGGACAAUGGGCGAAAGCCUGAUCCAGCCAUGCCGCUUGAAGGAUGAAUGCCCUAUGGGUUGUAAACUUCUUUUAUAUAGGAAGAAACCUCUGGAUUUAUCCAGAGCUGACAUUACUAUAAGAAUAAGCAUCGGCUAACUCCGUGCCAGCAGCCGCGGUAAUACGGAGGAUGCAAGCGUUAUCCGGAUUUAUUGGGUUUAAAGGGUGCGUAGGCGGGAAGCUAAGUCAGUGGUGAAAGCCCACAGCUCAACUGUGGAACUGCCAUUGAUACUGGUUUUCUUGAAUACGAUUGAAGUGGGCGGAAUAUGACAUGUAGCGGUGAAAUGCUUAGAUAUGUCAUAGAACACCGAUAGCGAAGGCAGCUCACUAAGUCGUUAUUGACGCUGAGGCACGAAAGCGUGGGGAGCGAACAGGAUUAGAUACCCUGGUAGUCCACGCUGUAAACUAUGAUCACUUGCUAUUGGCGAUAUACUGUCAGUGGCAUAGCGAAAGUGUUAAGUGAUCCACCUGGGGAGUACGAUCGCAAGGUUGAAACUCAAAGGAAUUGACGGGGGCCCGCACAAGCGGUGGAGCAUGUGGUUUAAUUCGAUGAUACGCGAGGAACCUUACCAGGGCUUAAAUGCAAAAUGACAGAUGUGGAAACACGUCCUUCUUCGGACAGUUUGCAAGGUGCUGCAUGGCUGUCGUCAGCUCGUGCCGUGAGGUGUCAGGUUAAGUCCUAUAACGAGCGCAACCCCUAUCUUUAGUUGCCAGCGAGUCAUGUCGGGGACUCUAAAGAAACUGCCGGUGCAAACCGUGAGGAAGGUGGGGAUGACGUCAAAUCAUCACGGCCCUUACGUCCUGGGCCACACACGUGCUACAAUGGCAAGUACAAAGGGCUGCUACUGGGUGACCAGAUGCAAAUCUCUAAAGCUUGUCUCAGUUCGGAUUGGAGUCUGCAACUCGACUCCAUGAAGCUGGAAUCGCUAGUAAUCGCGCAUCAGCCAUGGCGCGGUGAAUACGUUCCCGG
rnacentral:rRNA from 1 species